UCCCCAACAAUAUCCUGGUGCUGAGUGGGUGCACAGUGACUCCAGCAUCAGUGAUUUUGUUGAAGA
rfam:Rattus norvegicus chromosome 10, whole genome shotgun sequence.